UUUGACGAAAAUGCUCUCCUUAUUUUCGAUCUAGUCGAAGAGACGAAACAGGAGAUUGGAGAUUGGAGUUUUCCCAUUUUCAAUCCAGUCGAAGAGACAAAAAGAGAGAUUGCGAGAACUCCAAGCCUUCUUCCAUCGCCAAACAGAGAGAUGAACCAUUUCGUUUUAAUCGAUGCCAAAACUGAUGAGAGCUCUGUAGUAUUACAUUUUGGAUUCUGCAAUAAAGCCGCUAAUAGGGGCUUAAUUUGAGAUCUGGUGCAAGGCAGCUCAGUAACUUGUUAGCAUCUGGAGCCAUGUCUUCAUCUUCACCAGUUCUUCCCACCUCUCUGGAAGAGAAGUAUCCCAAAUUGCCAGAUUCCCAACAGGUUUCAUUGGAAAGGGAAAUAAUGGCAAAUUCUGUGCCUCCACAUGCAACUCAAUUGGCCUCCAAUAGUGGGGUGGUUCGGCACAUGUCUUCUCAUUCAUUGAUAAUAUUUAUGGUCAAUAAAACUGUUAAUGACUCAUUUGUUGAUAAGGCCUGCAGCACCAAAAUAAUGACAUACAGACCACAGGGAGGGGCCAGAGGCCUCACCAUAUGGUGCCGGGGAAGCAAAUAGUCCAACACAAAUUCUCUGUUUCGGCUAGUUUUUGAAGCUUUAAAAUUUUAUUGUAGAAGUUGUCCUCUUCAAUUGGUUUACACAAUCUAUAUUCUGAAAAUUUGUGUUAUUUCGUUCCCCUGGUGCUAAGUACUACUACCUUAUAAAAAAAUGCAGACAUGCACUGAGCGGCAGUAUCCCCCUGCUGAAGUUGCCCAGAUAAUAGAUUCUGCAGGUAAGAGCUUGCAGCCAUGUUGUUCUCAGAACCUUCCAAUUUGUGGAGAGAGACGCAAGUGCAUGAGAAUCGGACUAAAAUGUGCAUCACCGCAUGUUAAUGAUUCCAACAAGGGUGGUUCCUGUUGCACCUUUGGAUAAAUAAUUAAAAGUGCUGACACCAAUGUUGAAGAUACUGAAUUAGAGACAGCAUAUCAGGCACCGAAACCCCCGCAAAAUUUCUUGGUGCAGCAGCCUCAAGUUCAUCAGCAGAUUCCUGUUCUUUCUGGUGAACUUUCGUCUGUGGCUAGCCCUUCUUCAUCAGUCUCUGGUGUUCCAAACAUUCCACGUAUGCGUUGGACCCCAGAGCUCCAUGAGUGCUUUUGUAGAAGCUGUCAACCAACUGGGUGGCAGUGAAAGUGCGUAAUAUACUGGAUCAUAUUUAUUUUUUGAUUUAAUUGGAGAAAGAGGAAUAAUGGGGCUUCUUUUAACAGGAGUAGAAUUGGAAACUUUGGCUGAUUCUGAUUUCAGUUUCUAUUUGAACCAAAAAUUACCCCUAAUGGGGCAGCACAAAAUCAUUGAUUAGAUAACAAAGAAUAUUAAAAAAGAAAGUGUAUUUUAGUAAUAUAGCAAAACGGAGUUUCAAAAAUAGUAUUGUUAAUAGAGUAACAUUUGCAAACAUAGCUGUUAGUUGGUACAAAAGUUAGCGAAAGGACGAAGAGAAGCAGGGUCUUCUACGGAAUUGAUUUUUGACGCUUGUUUCGAGAGAUGCUUUCUCCGAUGUAUGAGUUCCUACAAUCCCCUAUGAAUAUAAAAGGAGGUGUUGUUGAAUGUAUAGAAAAUUGAAAGCAUGAUUUCUUAUGAUAUGAAGAUUAAAUUUUGAAUAAUUUGAGAAAAUUGAAAGCAUGAUUUCUAAAACUCAUCAUGUGAAUCAUCGUUCCAUUUGAUCCACCAGUCCUUUGAUAGACAACAACGAUGAUUGGGUUGCAAACAGUCUCUACCUUUUUUGAGCUUCUCAUCAUAAUCCUCCUCCUCACCUCUCUGGUUCUCAUCCAGCCACUGAAGACCAGCUUUACUGCUCCCUCAAUGCAGCCUUCUUCCGUAUCUCAGAUCCCAGAAUCUUAAUUAGUAGCAGUUUAGUAAUAGGUCUACGGAAUCAGAGGAGGUAAAUGCUACAAAUUUUUGAAUAUUUUCCGGAGCUUAGUAGUCUUUGAUUUAUAUAAUAGUUCCAGUUUGGUGUCUGGCGGUGAACAAUUAAGGAGAGAGUAGCACACAGAUCGAAAGACCAUUAGAUAGCGAUGAAAAAUGAGUGGUGAAAAUCAAUGGCGGUGUUUGCUUGAUUUUUGAUGUAUCGGUGUUUAUUGUUUAGAGUUCAAAUCUGCGCCCCCCACAAUCGGAAGGCGCCAAGUGUCCUCUCGCACGAUUUCCUCCCUCAGCGUGCAUAGAGCUAACGGGACGGCCGUUAACUCCAAAUUCCCGCUACUCUCGAGUCUCGACUCUCGACUUGGCUGGCCUCCUCUAUCUAACUUUGACCCACCCCUACACUUCUACAUCUGAGCUAAUGGCAAGAACUCCGGCGACGAAGACCGCUCCGGCAGACACACUGGAGGGAGGAAAUUUUUGUUUUCGAUGGCCAUACCGGACGGGGCCAAGAAGCUAAAAGAUGUCGAACUAUCUCCGGUAUGUUGAAUCCUUGGCGG